GGGUUGUGAGGUUAAGCGACUAAGCGUACACGGUGGAUGCCCUGGCAGUCAGAGGCGAUGAAGGACGUGCUAAUCUGCGAAAAGCGCCGGUAAGGUGAUAUGAACCGUUAUAGCCGGCGAUGUCCGAAUGGGGAAACCCAGUGUGACUCGUCACACUAUCAUUAACUGAAUCCAUAGGUUAAUGAGGCGAACCGGGGGAACUGAAACAUCUAAGUACCCCGAGGAAAAGAAAUCAACCGAGAUUCCCCCAGUAGCGGCGAGCGAACGGGGAGGAGCCCAGAGUCUGAAUCAGCUUGUGUGUUAGUGGAAGCGUCUGGAAAGUCGCGCGAUACAGGGUGACAGCCCCGUACACAAAAGCACACAGGCUGUGAGCUCGAUGAGUAGGGCGGGACACGUGGUAUCCUGUCUGAAUAUGGGGGGACCAUCCUCCAAGGCUAAAUACUCCUGACUGACCGAUAGUGAACCAGUACCGUGAGGGAAAGGCGAAAAGAACCCCGGCGAGGGGAGUGAAAAAGAACCUGAAACCGUGUACGUACAAGCAGUGGGAGCCUCUUGAUGGGGUGACUGCGUACCUUUUGUAUAAUGGGUCAGCGACUUAUAUUCUGUAGCAAGGUUAACCGAAUAGGGGAGCCGAAGGGAAACCGAGUCUUAACUGGGCGUUAAGUUGCAGGGUAUAGACCCGAAACCCGGUGAUCUAGCCAUGGGCAGGUUGAAGGUUGGGUAACACUAACUGGAGGACCGAACCGACUAAUGUUGAAAAAUUAGCGGAUGACCUGUGGCUGGGGGUGAAAGGCCAAUCAAACCGGGAGAUAGCUGGUUCUCCCCGAAAGCUAUUUAGGUAGCGCCUCGUGAAUUCAUCUCCGGGGGUAGAGCACUGUUUCGGCUAGGGGGCCAUCCCGGCUUACCAACCCGAUGCAAACUACGAAUACCGGAGAAUGUUAUCACGGGAGACACACGGCGGGUGCUAACGUCCGUCGUGAAGAGGGAAACAACCCAGACCGCCAGCUAAGGUCCCAAAGUCAUGGUUAAGUGGGAAACGAUGUGGGAAGGCCCAGACAGCCAGGAUGUUGGCUUAGAAGCAGCCAUCAUUUAAAGAAAGCGUAAUAGCUCACUGGUCGAGUCGGCCUGCGCGGAAGAUGUAACGGGGCUAAACCAUGCACCGAAGCUGCGGCAGCGACACUAUGUGUUGUUGGGUAGGGGAGCGUUCUGUAAGCCUGCGAAGGUGGCCUGUGAGGGUUGCUGGAGGUAUCAGAAGUGCGAAUGCUGACAUAAGUAACGAUAAAGCGGGUGAAAAGCCCGCUCGCCGGAAGACCAAGGGUUCCUGUCCAACGUUAAUCGGGGCAGGGUGAGUCGACCCCUAAGGCGAGGCCGAAAGGCGUAGUCGAUGGGAAACAGGUUAAUAUUCCUGUACUUGGUGUUACUGCGAAGGGGGGACGGAGAAGGCUAUGUUAGCCGGGCGACGGUUGUCCCGGUUUAAGCGUGAAGGUGUGUGCUCCAGGCAAAUCCGGAGUGCUUUAACACUGAGGCGUGAUGACGAGGCACUACGGUGCUGAAGUAACAAAUGCCCUGCUUCCAGGAAAAGCCUCUAAGCUCCAGGUAACACGAAAUCGUACCCCAAACCGACACAGGUGGUCAGGUAGAGAAUACCAAGGCGCUUGAGAGAACUCGGGUGAAGGAACUAGGCAAAAUGGUGCCGUAACUUCGGGAGAAGGCACGCUGAUAUGUAGGUGAAGCGACUUGCUCGUGGAGCUGAAAUCAGUCGAAGAUACCAGCUGGCUGCAACUGUUUAUUAAAAACACAGCACUGUGCAAACACGAAAGUGGACGUAUACGGUGUGACGCCUGCCCGGUGCCGGAAGGUUAAUUGAUGGGGUCAUCCGUAAGGAGAAGCUCUUGAUCGAAGCCCCGGUAAACGGCGGCCGUAACUAUAACGGUCCUAAGGUAGCGAAAUUCCUUGUCGGGUAAGUUCCGACCUGCACGAAUGGCGUAAUGAUGGCCAGGCUGUCUCCACCCGAGACUCAGUGAAAUUGAACUCGCUGUGAAGAUGCAGUGUACCCGCGGCAAGACGGAAAGACCCCGUGAACCUUUACUAUAGCUUGACACUGAACACUGGUCCUUGAUGUGUAGGAUAGGUGGGAGGCUUUGAAGCGUGGACGCCAGUCUGCGUGGAGCCAUCCUUGAAAUACCACCCUUUAAUGGCUGGUGUUCUAACGUGGACCCGUAAUCCGGGUUGCGGACAGUGUCUGGUGGGUAGUUUGACUGGGGCGGUCUCCUCCUAAAGCGUAACGGAGGAGCACGAAGGUCAGCUAAUCCUGGUCGGACAUCAGGAGGUUAGUGCAAUGGCAUAAGCUGGCUUGACUGCGAGCGUGACGGCGCGAGCAGGUGCGAAAGCAGGUCAUAGUGAUCCGGUGGUUCUGAAUGGAAGGGCCAUCGCUCAACGGAUAAAAGGUACUCCGGGGAUAACAGGCUGAUACCGCCCAAGAGUUCAUAUCGACGGCGGUGUUUGGCACCUCGAUGUCGGCUCAUCACAUCCUGGGGCUGAAGUAGGUCCCAAGGGUAUGGCUGUUCGCCAUUUAAAGUGGUACGCGAGCUGGGUUUAGAACGUCGUGAGACAGUUCGGUCCCUAUCUGCCGUGGGCGCUGGAGAAUUGAGGGGGGCUGCUCCUAGUACGAGAGGACCGGAGUGGACGCAUCACUGGUGUUCGGGUUGUCAUGCCAAUGGCACUGCCCGGUAGCUAAAUGCGGAAGAGAUAAGUGCUGAAAGCAUCUAAGCACGAAACUUGCCCCGAGAUGAGUUCUCCCUGAGACUUUAAGUCUCCUGAAGGAACGUUGAAGACGACGACGUUGAUAGGCCGGGUGUGUAAGCGCAGCGAUGCGUUGAGCUAACCGGUACUAAUGAACCGUGAGGCUUAACCUUACAACGCCGAAG
rnacentral:rRNA from 1 species